AGAUGAGCUUCGGGAACUCUGACGGUGCUGCAUGGCCGUCGUCAGCUCGUGUCGUGAGAUGUUGGGUUAAGUCCCGUAACGAGCGCAACCCCUAUCCCUAGUUGCUAGCAGUUCGGCUGAGAACUCUAGGACUGCCGGUGACAAACCGGAGGAAGGUGGGGAUGACGUCAGGUCAUCAUGGCCCUUACGGCCAGGGCUACACACGUGCUACAAUGGUGCGUACAGAGGGCUGCAAACCCGCGAGGGGGAGCUAAUCUCACAAAACGCAUCGUAGUCCGGAUCGGAGUCUGCAACUCGACUCCGUGAAGUCGGAAUCGCUAGUAAUCGCGAAUCAGAAUGUCGCGGUGAAUACGUUCCCGGGCCUUGUACACACCGCCCGUCACACCAUGGGAGUGGAUUGCACCAGAAGUGGUUAGUCUAACCUUCGGGAGGACGAUCACCA
rnacentral:rRNA from 1 species